rnacentral:rRNA from 1 species
CUUAACACAUGCAAGUCGAGGGGCAGCAUAAAAGUAGCAAGUACUUGGUCGGCGACCGGCGCACGGGUGAGUAACGCGUAUGCAACCUACCGUAUCGAAGAGGGGAAUAACCCGGCGAAAGUCGGACUAAUACCGCAUAAAACAGGGGCACCGCAUGGUGAUAUUGUUAAAGAAAUUCGCUGAUAGAUGGGCAUGCGUUCCAUUAGGUAGUUGGUGAGGUAACGGCUCACCAAGCCGACGAUGGAUAGGGGAACUGAGAGGUUGGUCCCCCACACUGGUACUGAGACACGGACCAGACUCCUACGGGAGGCAGCAGUGAGGAAUAUUGGUCAAUGGGCGGGAGCCUGAACCAGCCAAGUCGCGUGAAGGAAGAAGGAUCUAUGGUUCGUAAACUUCUUUUGCAGGGGAAUAAAGUGCAGGACGUGUCCUGUUUUGUAUGUACCCUGAGAAUAAGGAUCGGCUAACUCCGUGCCAGCCGCGGC